rnacentral:rRNA from 1 species
CCUACGGGAGGCAGCAGUGGGGAAUAUUGGGCAAUGGGCGCAAGCCUGACCCAGCAACGCCGCGUGAAGGAAGAAGGCUUUCGGGUUGUAAACUUCUUUUCUGAGGGACGAGCAGAAGACGGUACCUCUUGAAUAAGCCCCGGCUAACUACGGUCCAGCAGCCGAGGUAAUACGGAGGUGGCAAGCGUUUUCCGGAUUUACUGGGGGUAAAGGGCGUGUAGCCGGGGUGACAAGUCAGAUGUGAAAUCCCGUGGCUCAACCACGGAACUGCAUUUGAAACUGUCGGUCUUGAGUAUCGGAGAGGCAGGCGGAAUUCCUGGUGUAGCGGUGAAAUGCGUAGAUAUUAGGAGGAACACCAGUGGCGAAGGCGGCCUGCUGGACGACAACUGACGGUGAGGCGCGAAAGCGUGGGGAGCAAACAGGAUUAGAUACCCGGGUAGUC